rnacentral:rRNA from 1 species
AAAACGACUCUCGGCAACGGAUAUCUCGGCUCUCGCAUCGAUGAAGAACGUAGCGAACUGCGANACUUGGUGUGAANUGCNNAAUCCNGUGAACCAUNGAGUCUUUGAACGCAAGUUGCGCCCGAAGCCAUCAGGCCAAGGGCACGUCUGCCUGGGCGUCACG